rnacentral:rRNA from 1 species
UUUGCAAGGGCCGGCCUGCUGCGCGGUAUAUGGCGAGAGCAAUUGCUCCAGCAGGAUUCGCAAAACGCCCCAUGUGCAUUGCCUUUGGAGAAAUGGGCAAAGAGAAUUCUUUUCUUCUCUGCCCUUUUUCAAACCAACACUUUAAAAACACAAAUCAUUGUUAUUAUUUUUACAUACAAAAAAUAAAUAAAUACAACUUUCAACAACGGAUCUCUUGGCUCUCGCAUCGAUGAAGAACGCAGCGAAAUGCGAUACGUAAUGUGAAUUGCAGAAUUCAGUGAAUCAUCGAAUCUUUGAACGCAUAUUGCACUCUCUGGCAUUCCGGAGAGUACACCUGUUUCAGUAUCAUCAGUCGCAGAUCGAAAAAGCAAUUUUUUGCAUAUUUUUCGGAUUUGGGCCUUGCCGAAAGUCAAACGUCGGCUGGCCUUAAACAAAAGACAGACCGGCCCUCUUCCUUUGAACGGGAACUAUCGUAUAUAGUCGAAGGCGUAAUUAGUUGGAUCUUGCAUUCAUUUUUUUCGCUGAAAUAUAUACAAUAGCACCGUGCAGCGGCGGAAAGGGCUGCGUCGAUGGCAGGAAAACAUCAAGAAUCUCCAGAUUCUAGCUUGAUCUGAAAUCAGGUGGGACUACCCGCUGAACUUAAGCAU